AGCAAUGGCAAUUGAACAUGAACUCCAAACCCAUCUCAACUCAAAUUACAAAAUAUUUGCUAGUAAUAUUCGACUCCUAUUGGGUUAUCUGGCAAUUGUUCAACUUGCUUUGAUUCAUGUUCUCAUCUAUGGUCUGUUACUUCUGGGUUUAUGGUUCUACUUGGUAAUACGAGUAGCAGUCAACCCAUGUGAAGACCUAUGUCUAUUAGUAGGCAGAGAUUUGCAAAACUUAAAAAGGCUGGCUGAAGAUGCAAUCCAAAGGCUAUUUGGCAGGCAGGACAAAAUACCCAUCUCCUUCCUAGUGUGUGUUUGAGAUCAGCAUUGGCUAUUGAUUCCAUACUCAAAGCUUGUAAAUCAAAUUGUGUUGAUCUUAGUUCCAAGUUUCAGAUGGUUUCUUCUAGGCUUAGGACCUCCACAUUUAAAUGGUACUUGGAACUCAUAUCAAGAUCUUUACCAUUUGCUACUCCAAGCAUUUGAUGAGUUGAAGAGGCUUUCAAGAAAUUUAUUUCAAGCACUAAGGAGGAUGCCAAUUGGAGGUGGGGAAAACAACAUAAUGCAGGAACCAAAUCAUCAAUCUUCGUCAUCUGUUAAAUAUUGUUUAGUCUUAGUUAUUGCUUAUUCAUUUAUGUUAUGUAAGUGACCUUGUUCAUAUUGCUUACUGCUACUCUGAACAAAUUGGUAAUUAAUUUCUUUGUAUUUCUUGCCCAGCAAUGUCCAUGGAUUCAACAAAGUUUAAGCUUCUUGUGGUAACUUAAAGCUAGCUUGUUAUCAGUUCAGCUAUCUGGGGAAAUGAAGAUGUUGGUGGUCUCUCUAAUCAACUAUGCAAUAGCAAUGGCAAUUGAACAUGAACUCCAAACAUAUCCCAACUCAAAUUACAAAACAUGUGCUAGAAAUAUUCGUCUCCUAUUGGGUUAUAUGGCAAUUGUGCUACUUGCCUUGGUUCAUGUUCUCCUCUAUGUUGUGUUACUUAUGAGUUUGUGGGUCUACUUGCUUACACAAGUAGGACGCCACCCAUAUCAAGACUUAUAUCUAUUAGUAGGCAAAGAUUUGCAACACUUAAAGGAGUUAGCUGAAGAUGCAAUCCAAAGGCUAUUUGGCAGGCAGGAGUGAGCCACCGAAUCAAUUGUCUAGUUAAGUGUAUUAUUCUAGUAAACCUGAUUUGUCUUUACAAUUUUAGAUCUCUCUAUAAAAUGUUUGAUUUUAGCAAUCAUUUUAAUGAUUUAAAUGUGAUAGUUUAGUCCAUAUUAAUGUAUCUGAGUUGUAGAAAUAAUACAUAGUUGUAGAAUUUUGAAAGGGUCUUCUUUUGAAAUUUAUAUUUGUUUAUGUUAGAAUAUUUGUUUAUUGCAUUGUUAAAUCUCCCUCUCUCAUUUGUAAUUUAUGUGUUGUUUGUAGAGGAAGAGAUGGGGAGAGGGAGAGAAUUUGUUAUUAAAAUUUUCUUUUAACAGGAUUAAGUCCAAUUUAAAAAAUUUUAUUACAGUGUUUGAGUUGUAGAAAUAAUACAAAUACUCAUCUCUCUCAUCAUAGCAAAAUACCCAUCUCAUUCCCAGGAUGCUUUUGAGAUUAGCAUUGGCUAUUGAAUCUAUACUCAAAGCUUGUAAAUCAAAUUGUGUUGAUCUUAGUUGCAAGCUUUAGAUGGCUUCUUUUAGGUUCAGGACCUUCAUAUUUAAAUGGGAAGCUUGGAACUCAUAUCAAGAUCUUUACCGUUUGCUACUCCAAGCAUUUGAUGAGUUGAAGAGGCUUUCAAGAAAUGCUUUUCAAGCACUAAGGAGGAGGCCAAUUGGAGGUGGGGAAAACAACAUAAUGCAGGAACCAAAUCAUCAAUCUUCUUCAUCUGUCAAAUAUUGUUUAGUCUUAAUUAUUGCUUUUUCAUUUAUGUUACGCAAAUGACCUUGUUCAUAUUGCUUACUGCUACUCUGAACAAAUUGGUGAUUAAUUUCUUUGUAUUUAUUAUCCAUGGAUUCAACAAAUUUAAGCUUCUUGUUGUAACUUAAAGCUAGCUUGUUAUCAGUUCAGAUAUCUUGGGUCUUGGAUUGUAGCAGGGUAAUUAGCAAAGCUGCUUGUACAGAGUUUAUUUCCUCUUGAAUCUUAGGUUUGGAUCUAUUCAGAAUCAUAGUUGUGUUGUGCAGUAGUUUUUUUGGGUCUCUGGUUCUGCAGCUUGAGUGGGAGCUUCUGCUGCUGUUUAUAUAUAUUGGUUUAGUUUGGUUAUGUAUUCAUAUAUUUAUUUGAAAUUCAAUGGGGCGACCAGUAAUUGAUGGAUCA